UUCAGACGUUUGCUCUGCAGAAACAUUCUUCUAAUACUGUGUGAAGUGCAUUGGCAUUUAAGUUACUUUACAGGCAACAGUUUUCUACUGAAAGAGGCUAAACUAGUUUAAGGAUUACCUUUACUUUGCGAAAAGCAAACUGAUUUGGCAUUUAAAAAAUAGGGAUUUUUUGUUUUUCAGUCAAAGUUCGGAUUACACAAUGUGCUUUUACCUGAGGGCAGUGCUGUUCAUGUUAAAUCUGCAUUGUACAUUCCAGAAUGCACUGUCACAUUUUUACAUGACAUACCCUUUACCGAAAGAAACAUUUGCAUUUUGUCAUAUAUUUGUAUGGUUUCCAGACCU